rnacentral:rRNA from 1 species
UAACACGUGAGCAACCUGCCUUUCUAGAGGGGGAGUAACAGUUGGAAACGAACUGCUAAUACCGCAUAACGCUGCGAUGGGGCGAUCCCGAUGCAGCCAAAGGAGCAAUCCGCUGAAAGAUGGGCGUCGCGGCCGAUUAGCUAGUUGGUGGGGCGAACGGCCCACCCAAGGCGACGAUCGGUAGCCGGACUGAGAGGUUGAUCGGCCACAUUGGGACUGAGACACGGACCAGACUCCUACGGAAGGCAGCAG